rnacentral:lncRNA from 1 species
AAGGACAAUUACAAGUGGAUAUUCAGUUCACAAAUUCAUGCUGAAGUUUUAUUAUUCAGCCAGUUUUUUCCUGUAUGAUGUCCAAAUAAAAAGAAAUUUUGAUAUACAGUUAUAACUUUAGUUUUUUCUUCUCUUAAAGGUCUUAUAGUUGCUGUGGAAAUCAGGAAACAAUGGCAUCUAAGAAAUUUGCUGUUAAAUUGUUCGUAUGUGCAUUUAUGAACACUCUUCCCAGCUGCAUUCCCGGAGGAGGAGGAGGACGACGACGACGACGACGACGACGACGACGACUUGUGCUCUGUUGUUUUUGUGUCUGCAGAGGAUAUUCUAGAGCAUGUGUGAGGUGCCCACGACCCCUCCUUCUUUGUUUCAAAGAUGAGAAGUCUCUUUCCUUUGGCCCAUGGAGAACAAGGAAGUGACUGGAGUUUGGAGUUAAGAAUUUCCUAAUGGUCUUUUUUCAGUUCUAGUCAGGGAAUGUUGUAAUCUUCAAUUUGUAAUAUAUCUUUUUUCUUAAAAACAUUUGUCAAUUUGUUUCUUUUUUAGCCAUCUACAAUUCCUCUUUGCAAUUAUUUUUAAGUAGUUCUUUUGAAAAUACCAAAAUAAUGUAUAGAAUUUGCUC